ensembl:snRNA U6 U6 spliceosomal RNA
GUGCUUACUUUGGCAGCACAUAUAAUAAAAUUGGAAUGAUACAGAGAAUAUUAGAAUGGGCCCUGUACAAGUAUGACAUGAAGUUCGUGAAGUGUUCCAUAUUUUU